CAGUCGCCGCGGGAAUACGAAGGGUGCAAGCGUUACUCGGAAUUACUGGGCGUAAAGCGUGUGUAGGUGGUUGUUUAAGUCUGUCGUGAAAGCCCUGGGCUCAACCUGGGAAUUGCGAUGGAUACUGGGCGACUAGAGUGCGGUAGAGGAUAGUGGAAUUUCCGGUGUAGCAGUGAAAUGCGUAGAGAUCGGAAGGAACAUCUGUGGCGAAGGCGACUAUCUGGGCCAACACUGACACUGAGACACGAAAGCGUGGGGAGCAAACAGGAUUAGAUACCCGGGUAGUCCCUGUCUCUUAUAC
rnacentral:rRNA from 1 species